rnacentral:rRNA from 1 species
GACGAACGCUGGCGGCGUGCUUAACACAUGCAAGUCGAACGGAAAGGCCCUGCUUUUGUGGGGUGCUCGAGUGGCGAACGGGUGAGUAACACGUGAGUAACCUGCCCUUGACUUUGGGAUAACUUCAGGAAGCUGGGGCUAAUACCGGAUAGGAGCUCCUGCUGCAUGGUGGGGGUUGGAAAGUUUCGGCGGUUGGGGAUGGACUCGCGGCUUAUCAGCUUGUUGGUGGGGUAGUGGCUUACCAAGGCUUUGACGGGUAGCCGGCCUGAGAGGGUGACCGGCCACAUUGGGACUGAGAUACGGCCAAGACUCCUACGGGAGGCAGCAGUGGGGAAUAUUGCACAAUGGGCGGAAGCCUGAUGCAGCAACGCCGCGUGCGGGAUGACGUCCUUCGGGUUGUAAACCGCUUUCGCCUGUGACGAAGCGUGAGUGACGGUAAUGGGUAAAGAAGCACCGGCUAACUACGUG